GUGCACCAUAACCUAACUAUAAAAAACAAUAGCAUAGUCACAAUACUAAUAAUACUCUAUCUUCCAUACCUCGUCUGUAGAUAUGCACUGGAUACAAUGUUAAUGCUUUUUGGACUAUAAUCCCUUCACAAACCUACGGAUAUAUCAAUCAUCUAUUUCCAACUGUAAAGGGUCUACAAUGUCGAAUAAUAUCGUAACCACCUGACCUAACCUUCACGCAGAGCAAAAACGCUAGUUCGCCUAGAGGUGCGAACCAGAGGGAGCCUAACAAGCAACCGUGACCACACCAGGUUGCAUACGACGAUUGGACACACGCGCCGGCGUACGACGGCGUUCUGACGUAAUCCUGUUACGUCAGAACGCGGCGGAGGGGGCCGGGGGUCUGGCACGCGAUAGGGAGAUGUAGUACGGCGUGGGUGUGCUGGCAAAGGAUGACGAGGAGGGGAACAGCAGGCAGAGAGAGGGUGGAACGUCAAUAGGAGAAUCCUUUGCGUGACGGGUGGGAGGAUCGUCUGAAAAGAGGGGCGAGUGUAAGGGGGUGGGUGUCGUCAUCAAGGUGGGCUGGAAACCAGGGCUGUAACAAAACGCAUUAAACAGUGCACCAUGAACUGUGUAUA
rnacentral:lncRNA from 1 species